rnacentral:rRNA from 1 species
CAGGCUAGAGUGCAGGAGAGGAAGGUAGAAUUCCCGGUGUAGCGGUGAAAUGCGUAGAGAUCGGGAGGAAUACCAGUGGCGAAGGCGGCCUUCUGGACUGACACUGACGCUGAGGUGCGAAAGCGUGGGUAGCAAACAGGAUUAGAUACCCUGGUAGUCCACGCCGUAAACGAUGUCGACUAGCCGUUGGGGUCCUCGAGACCUUUGUGGCGCAGUUAACGCGAUAAGUCGACCGCCUGGGGAGUACGGCCGCAAGGUUAAAACUCAAAUGAAUUGACGGGGGCCCGCACAAGCGGUGGAGCAUGUGGUUUAAUUCGAUGCAACGCGAAGAACCUUACCUACUCUUGACAUCGAGCGAACUUUCCAGAGAUGGAUUGGUGCCUUCGGGAACGCUCAGACAGGUGCUGCAUGGCCGUCGUCAGCUCGUGUUGUGAAAUGUUGGGUUAAGUCCCGUAACGAGCGCAACCCUUGUCCCUAUUUGCCAGCGAUUCGGUCGGGAACUCUAGGGAGACUGCCGGUGACAAACCGGAGGAAGGUGGGGACGACGUCAGGUCAUCAUGGCCCUUACGAGUAGGGCUACACACGUGCUACAAUGGCCGGUACAAUGGGCUGCAAUCCCGCGAGGGGGAGCCAAUCUCAUAAAGCCGGUCUCAGUCCGGAUCGGAGUCUGCAACUCGACUCCGUGAAGUCGGAAUCGCUAGUAAUCGUGCAUCAGAAUGGCACGGUGAAUACGUUCCCGGGCCUUGUACACACCGCCCGUCACACCA